rnacentral:lncRNA from 1 species
AAAAUUUCAGAUUUUUGCUAAGUAAAAAUUCUCUUAGAGUUUUCUCCAAGAAUUCUCUCUUGAGUUUCUUUAGAAGUAGUUUUAACAAUCUUUUUUAUUGUGGGAGCCAUCUUCAGCCUUUUUCUUGCCAUUGUUCUUCAUUGGAGGGGAGAUUAGAGCCAUUUGAAGGGAGUUGUGAAAUCUUUCUCGAUUUCAAGGCUUCUUAAGACUUUAUCUUUAUUUUCUUGCUGUUCAAUCUCUUUUAAAUUUCUGCUUGUGUCGAUUUUUAUUAGCUAAUUUGUUUGCUGUUCUUGUUGCUUUUUAGCCUUUCUAAAACUCCAAGAUCUGAUUCGACACUUCCUUGGACAUAAAGGAACUUUUUUGAUUUCACAAAAAAACCCCUCUUUUCGUGCCGUCCAAUCCCUAGAAUUAGUUUCAAUUGAUUUCGUAAUUUGUUUUAAUUUAUUUGCUAUUUUGUGUUCUUUGAUAGAUUCGCCUGAUUGGAAGUUAAUCUUAGGGCUUAAUUCCGCGUUCUUGGUUUCCAAGAUUGGCUAUCUAUAACUGUUUUGAUUCUUGGCUGUUCUUUAUUGAUUUGGGGAUUUUUAGUUUCCAGAUCUAAUUGAUUCUAAUUAAGUUUUGCUGUUUCGUUUCAGAUCCAAACGUUUAGAGUUUUCGUAGGAGUUUCCCGUGACUUGACAACUCGAUCUUGGUCCGCGCGCAACCCCCUAUCACAAAAGGUUAGAAGGUGUAGAAAAGGAUAGAUUGAGCACCAGUAAUGUGUUAAAUGAAGUAAGAUGCAAAAUCCCUAAUUUCAGAAUGAUAAAUUUCUGAUUUGCAUCUCGGUCGGCCAAUGUUCUAGCACAUGCUUUGGCAAAAGAAGGUCAGAGUUAUGCCUAACCUAUAUACUGGAUGGAAGAGACCCCAGAAGUUGUGGAAGAGCUUGUCAAUAGGGAUUUGGAUGGUGUUGAAAAUGAAUGAUUUGGGAGUUGAAGACUGUGACCGGAGGUGAUGUGGGUUCUUUAAAAUCUGAUAAGCUUAGUGAUUAACAUAGGGGUUUGUUUUAACUGUGUUGAUUCCAUUUUUGUCAAGAGUGGGGAAUGAUUACCUCUGUGUUCUGAUGUAAGGAAGGUAUAGAUGAUUUUUGGGAAGACGAACAGAAGCUUCAGGCCAUUCUUUCUUUCUUUCUUUCUUUUUUCAUCUUUCCUUAGGUUGUUUGUUUGAUUUUUUUUAUUGCUUUGUCGUUUCGGUUAUGUUUUUUGAGUUAUUUUUUUCAUUGUUUAUCAAGGCACCUUUUAAUUGCCCAGCAUUUUGAGGACAAUUGUAAAAGCUAGGGGCUUGAAUCUGUUGGGGUUCUUAUUCAUGUUAAGUAUUUGUAAAGUUACUUUGAAU